rnacentral:rRNA from 1 species
UACAGAGGUGACAAACGUUGUCCGGAAUUAUUGGGCGUAAAGAGCUCGUAGGUGGCUUGUCACGUCGGGUGUGAAAGCUUGGGGCUUAACUCCAGGUCUGCAUUCGAUACGGGCUGGCUAGAGGUAGGUAGGGGAGAACGGAAUUCCUGGUGUAGCGGUGAAAUGCGCAGAUAUCAGGAGGAACACCGGUGGCGAAGGCGGUUCUCUGGGCCUUACCUGACGCUGAGGAGCGAAAGCGUGGGGAGCGAACAGG